GUCUAUUAUGAAGUUAUUUAUAGUCUGGCCUGCUCCCUGACUAUAAAGUUAAAGAGCCGCGGUAAUUUGACCGUGCAAAGGUAGCAUAAUCAUUAGUUUCUUAAUUGGGAACUUGUAUGAAAGGUCUGACAAAGGAAAAGCUGUCUUUAUUGUAAAGGUUGAAUUUAACUUUUAAGUGAAAAGGCUUAAAUGAUUUAGAGGGACGAUAAGACCCUAUAAAGCUUUAUAUAAAAAAUAAUCAAAAUUGAAUUUAUAAUAAAAAUUUAAAUUAAUUAUUAUAUUUUAUUGGGGUGAUAUUAAUAAAAGUAAUAUUAACUGUUAAAAAAAAAAUACGUGAAUAAAAGAAUUGAAUAUAUUAAUGAUCCUUGUUUAAAGAUUAAAAGAUUAAGUUACUUUAGGGAUAACAGCGUAAUUCUUCUUAAGAGUUCAUAUCGAAAGAAGAGAUUUUGACCUCGAUGUUGAAUUAAAAUAUCUGUGUAAAGUAGCCAUUACAUGAGAAGGUC
rnacentral:rRNA from 1 species